AGAGUUUGAUCCUGGCUCAGAGUGAACGCUGGCGGUAGGCCUAACACAUGCAAGUCGAACGGCAGCACAGUAAGAGCUUGCUCUUACGGGUGGCGAGUGGCGGACGGGUGAGGAAUGCAUCGGAAUCUACUCUGUCGUG
rnacentral:rRNA from 1 species